GACGAACGCUGGCGGCGUGCUUAACACAUGCAAGUCGAACGGAAAGGCCCUGCUUGCAGGGUACUCGAGUGGCGAACGGGUGAGUAACACGUGGGCGAUCUGCCCUGCGCUUCGGGAUAAGCCUGGGAAACUGGGUCUAAUACCGGAUAGGAGCCAUUUUUAGUGUGAUGGUUGGAAAGUUUUUUCGGUGUAGGAUGAGCUCGCGGCCUAUCAGCUUGUUGGUGGGGUAAUGGCCUACCAAGGCGGCGACGGGUAGCCGGCCUGAGAGGGUGGACGGCCACAUUGGGACUGAGAUACGGCCCAGACUCCUACGGGAGGCAGCAGUGGGGAAUAUUGCACAAUGGGCGCAAGCCUGAUGCAGCGACGCCGCGUGGGGGAUGACGGCCUUCGGGUUGUAAACUCCUUUCGCUAGGGACGAAGCUUUUUGUGACGGUACCUAGAUAAGAAGCACCGGCUAACUACGUG
rnacentral:rRNA from 1 species